UGAGCUGUCUUUAAAGCACGAUUUGAGAACUCCUUUGCGACAUGACCAGCACCAGAAUUAGCGUUCACCGAGCAGGAAAAGGACCAUCUGAAACUACCUUUACAGGAAAAGAAAGCAAGCAACAGGGAAACAUUAAGGAAUUAUUUUUGUCAUUCCACUUAUCCUGAGGAGCAAGGCUCCGAUGUCUAUCAGAUCUGACAUAAGCAUAGCACAACAGGAUUUUCACUGAAGAGCUUCUCCUGAGAACAUCUAUAGUAUUUCCUACAGACAUACCUGUUUGGAGAAAUGUAAUUGAACUUAAUGUACUUGGUCACAUAGCUACAGCAAGAUAGCAUGAUCUCUGCUGUAAGGGCCUUUGUGCAUCCUGAGGAUUUUUUUU